rnacentral:rRNA from 1 species
CAGCCGCCGCGGUAAAACGAAGGGUGCAAGCGUUAAUCGGAAUUAUUGGGCGUAAAGGGUGCGUAGGCGGUUUCGUAAGUCUGAUGUGAAAUCUAUGGGUUCAACCCAUAGUCUGCAUCGGAAACUGCGAGGCUUGAGAGUGGGAGAGGUGAGUGGAAUUUCCGGUGUGGCGGUGAAAUGCGUAGAUAUCGGAAGGAACACCUGUGGCGAAAGCGGCUCACUGGACCAUUUCUGACGCCGAUGCACGAAAGCUAGGGGAGCAAACAGGAUUAGAUACCCCAGUAGUCCCUGUCUCUUAUAA